GUUAAGUGCGGGCCAGAGUGCGGCGGAAGACGUAGGGGGCAAGCGUUGUCCGGAUUGACUGGGCGGAAAUGGGGGGCAGGCGGGCUGUUAAGGCGAGGUGGAAAGCUCCCGGCUGAACUGGGAGAGGUCCGUGGAUACUGGCGGAGUUGAGGGAGGUAGAGGAGAGUGGAAUUCCCGGUGUAGUGGUGAUAUGCGGAGAUAUCGGGAGGAACACCAGUGGCGAAGGCGGCUCUCUGGGCCUUUCCGGACGCUGAGACGCGAAAGCGUGGGGAGCGAACCGGAUUAGAUACCCUAGUAGUC
rnacentral:rRNA from 1 species